GUUUGUGAAUAACUAAUUAAUACUUUUUGCAAGUUGAUUAAUUAGAUGCUAUGUGCAGUGAAUGAAAUGAAAGUAAGAGAUAACAAAACAAUCACAAACACAAGGAUUUUAUAGUGGUUCGGAGCUAACCCUUGCUCCUACGUCCACUCCCCAAGCCUCACUUGGGAAUUCACUAUAACCCCUCGGAUUACAGCCAGUUGUUUUACAAGCUCACAACCUAACUUGUUGUUUUACGAGAUCACAACGAACUCGGUCGGUUUUCCCAGGCUCACUGACUAGAACCA
rnacentral:lncRNA from 1 species